rfam:Camelus ferus unplaced genomic scaffold scaffold394, whole genome shotgun sequence.
GAGGGUAUAGCUCAGUGGUAGAGUGUGUGUUUAGCGUGCACGAGGUCUUGGGUUCAAUCCCCACUACCUCCA